GGAGUUGUGCCUGAAAUAAAGGGCCACUUUGAUAGAGUGAACCAUGAGGGUUAAAAUCCCUCCAACUCCU
rnacentral:tRNA from 1 species